rnacentral:rRNA from 1 species
UGCAAGUGGAGCGACGAACCAGGCUUCGGCCUGGGGCAAAGCCGCGAACGGGUGAGUAACACGUGGGUAACCUGCCCCGAUGACCGGGACAACCCGAGGAAACUCGGGCUAAUACCGGAUGUGGUCACCUCACAUAAGUGAGAUGACUAAAGAUAGCUUCGGCCUUCGCAUCGGGAUGGGCCCGCGGCGCAUUAGCUUGUUGGUGGGGUAACGGCUCACCAAGGCGACGAUGCGUAGCUGGUCUGAGAGGACGAUCAGCCACACUGGGACUGAGACACGGCCCAGACUCCUACGGGAGGCAGCAGUGGGGAAUCCUGCGCAAUGCGCGAAAGCGUGACGCAGCAACGCCGCGUGGGGGAAGAAGGCCUUCGGGUUGUAAACCCCUUUCAGGAGGGACGAAGCCUGUCUGGUGAAUAGCCAGUUCAGGUGACGGUACCUCCACAAGAAGCCCCGGCUAACUACGUGCCAGCAGCCGCGGUAAUACGUAGGGGGCAAGCGUUGUCCGGAAUCAUUGGGCGUAAAGAGCGCGUAGGCGGCCCAGUAAGUCCGCUCUGAAAGUCAGGGGCUCAACCCCUGGAUGCGGGUGGAUACUGCUGGGCUAGAGUCCGGAAGAGGCGAGUGGAAUUCCUGGUGUAGCGGUGAAAUGCGCAGAUAUCAGGAGGAACACCGAUGGCGAAGGCAGCUCGCUGGGACGGUACUGACGCUGAGGCGCGAAAGCGUGGGGAGCAAACAGGAUUAGAUACCCUGGUAGUCCACGCCGUAAACGAUGGACACUAGGUGUGGGAGGUGUCGACUCCUCCCGUGCCGAAGCUAACGCAUUAAGUGUCCCGCCUGGGGAGUACGGCCGCAAGGCUAAAACUCAAAGGAAUUGACGGGG